rnacentral:rRNA from 1 species
GACGAACGCUGGCGGCGUGCCUAAUACAUGCAAGUCGAACGCAGUGGGGACGGGUGAGUAACACGUGGGUAACCUCCCAUCAGAGGGGAUAACACUUGGAAACAGGUGCUAAACCGAUACUGAUGGAUGGACCCGCGGUGCAUUAGCUAGUUGGUGAGGUAACGGCUAACCAAGGCCACGAUGCAUAGCCGACCUGUGAUGAUGAGCGGCCACACUGGGACUUAGCACCGGCCCAGACUCCUCCGGGAGGCAGCAGUAGGGAAUCUUCGGCAAGGGACGAAAGUCUGACCAAGCAACGCCGCGGGAGUGAAGAAGGUUUUCGGAUCGGAAAACUCUUUUGUUAGAGAAGCGGUAUCUAACGAUAAAGCCACGGCUAACUACGUGCCAGCCGCCGCGGUAAUAC